GACGUAGGAGGCGAGCGUUAUCCGGAUUCACUGGGCGUAAAGCGCAAGUAGGCGGUUGUGAAAGUCCGUUGUUAAAGCCCCUGGCUCAACUGGGGGAGGUCAAUGGAGACUUUAUGACUUGAGGGCAACAGAGGCAUGUGGAACUCCUGGUGUAGCGGUGAAAUGCGCAGAUAUCAGGAGGAACACCGGUGGCGAAGGCGGGUCUCUGGGCCGAUACUGACGCUGAGGAGCGAAAGCGUGGGGAGCGAACAGG
rnacentral:rRNA from 1 species